rnacentral:rRNA from 1 species
UAGUGGCAAACGGGUGAGUAAUACAUGGGAAUCUGCCUUAUAGUAAGGGAUAACUAUUGGAAACAGUAGCUAAUACCUUAUAUUGCUGAGAAGUGAAAGAUUUAUCGCUAUAAGAUGAGCCCAUGCAAAAUUAGUUUGUUGGUGGGGUAAAGGCCUACCAAGACUACGAUUUUUAGCUGGUUUGAGAGAAUGACCAGCCACACUGGAACUUAGACACGGUCCAGACUCC